AUGAACGCUGGCGGCGUGCCUAAUACCUGCAAGUCGAGCGAACGGACGAGAAGCUUGCUUCUCUGAUGUUAGCGGCGGACGGGUGAGUAACACGUGGAUAACCUACCUAUAAGACUGGGAUAACUUCGGGAAACCGGAGCUAAUACCGGAUAAUAUUUUGAACCGCAUGGUUCAAAAGUGAAAGGCGGUCUUGCUGUCACUUAUAGAUGGAUCCGCGCUGCAUUAGCUAGUUGGUAAGGUAACGGCUUACCAAGGCAACGAUGCAUAGCCGACCUGAGAGGGUGAUCGGCCACACUGGAACUGAGACACGGUCCAGACUCCUACGGGAGGCAGCAGUAGGGAAUCUUCCGCAAAGGGCGAAAGCCUGACGGAGCAACGCCGCGUGAGUGAUGAAGGUCUUCGGAUCGUAAAACUCUGUUAUUAGGGAAGAACAUAUGUGUAAGUAACUGUGCACAUCUUGACGGUACCUAAUCAGAAAGCCACGGCUAACUACGUG
rnacentral:rRNA from 1 species